AUCCGGCUGAUGAGUCACAAAUAGGACGAAACACGCGUGCUGGAU
rfam:Schistosoma mattheei strain Denwood, Zambia genome assembly, scaffold: SMTD_scaffold0002475